rnacentral:snRNA from 1 species
AGCUUUGUGCAGUGGCAGUAUCUAGCCAAUGAGGUUUAUCCGAGGCGCGAUUAUUACUAAUAGAAAUUAGGCUAAAUAAAUGGGCAUUUAUUUGCUGGGGGGAAAAAAAACCCCAACUAUGUUAUCCUAGAUCAAAUAACUCCAGG